CAGUCUUAUGAUUUACAUUAAUGCAACAUUUCAUGUUGCCUCAGAUUCCAAUUCUUUUAGCCUUCUCCAUGCUCCACCUUAGAGAAUGAACCUAAAUUUAGAUACCUAAUCCUACCGCCAUGAAAUCUUCAGAUUGUUGUUCCAAUUGGCUUUUACAAAAAAAAAAAAAAAAAUUUACACAGAUAUUAUGGCUUAGAUCCCCUUGGAUAAUCAGAUUUUAAUUCCAAUACCGAGAUUGUUCAUAGUAUAGUAAGUUGGUGUUUUUGUCGCAUAAGUUGAUGAAGUCUGUAAUAACUCCUUUGCGAUUUCCUUUCCAAUUUCCAUCUUCUGCAGAUAGUUCACCCGAACUCUUCCUACUAGGCCCUCCAUUGUGUUUUGACCAAACGCACCCGAUUAACUGAGCUUGGAUUUUUCAACUUGAGAAGAGGUUGGUGGCAACCCAUCAUCCGACCCUAUAUGUCAAUUAGUCCCAUGUUUGCUUUGUGCAUGCAAGGUAACAGAUAAUCUUAUAUGUCAAUUAUUUAUAUUUAUGUUGUUUAAGUCUUUAUUCACAUUAAAUCUUGGAUAAUUGGAAAUAAAUUCAUCAAAUUCAUUAAAUUUUUUUAAUAAAUUGAAUUAAACCAAUUUUGAAUUUAAAUUAUUUCAUUUCUUUUUUAGAAUCUCAAACCAUUGAUUACAGAAAAAAAUUAAUACUUAAAACAGAAAUUCGAUGUCUUUUUUUAAUGUUUAACUAUUAUAUAUUAUAUUUAAAUUGAUUAAUUUAUAUAAAAAGUUUGAAUCUAAAAUUUAUAUCUAAUAUAAUAAAGAAACAAAAUUUUAAAAAAAUAUUACUUUUAAAAUGAGUAUUUAAAAUUAUUAAUUUUCAAGUUGCAUACUAGUUAAAAUCUAUAUUUGACAUACUCAAAAAAAUAAAUUUAUUUAAGUUAAAAUAAGUAAUUAAUUAUAUAAAAGUUUCUCAAUAAUUUACAUUAUUAAAUUUAAGUUGUCGUUAUUGGUCGGGUGUUCACCUUUUUUAGGAAUAGUUAGAGUUAUUGUAUCAAAAAAAGUUACACUAUUAGUCACUAAACUAUAAGAAUUUUCAUUUUGGUCACUUAACUAAAAAUGUUACAAUUUUGAUAUUAAUGUUUUCGAAAUUGUAUUUUUUUUAUCACUCGGCUGUUAAAUGACACUUUUUUAAUUAGUAUAAUAAUAAUUUUAGUCGUCAAAUUUUCUACUUUCAGUCAAUUUAAUCUUGAUAAAAUAUUAAAUGGUAAAAAUUUGAAAUUAGUUUUAAAAUUUUAGAAAAUUAUAAAAAAAAAAUUAAAUAAAAGUAGAUAAAAAUUUUAAAAAUAAAUAAAGUGGGAGAAAAUGAGGGAUAAUUGUUUUUAAACCCUCCAAAUUUUCUCUACAUUGUAUGUAUUGAAAAUUGAAUUUUUAUAAAACUUUCCUAACUUUUAUUGUAAAUAAAACCAAGAUCAUAGCUUUGCCUCACCUUAAAUCAUUUUGUUUAGUAUAUGUUUAUAUUUUAUUAAAAUAUUAAUAAAAAUAAAAUAUAUUUUAAUUAACACACAUUAUCAUUCCGUGUAAAAUAAUUUUUAAUACUAUUUAAGUUUUAAUACUUUUUCAAGCCUAGGCCCAUUUUCGGCCUAAGUUGGUUGAUCCAAAAAUUCUACUUUACUGUACAAAAAUAUUUUAAAAAACAAUUUUAUAUUAAUAUAUAUAUUUUUAUAAUUUAAUUUAAUUUUAAAAAUACUUUAUAUUAUUUAAAUUGAAUUCGAGUUGGACCGACUCAAGAUAUGGAGGGAAUUAUAGCCAACUUCUAUUUUGUAUAUAUAUAUAAUUUAAAAUUUAUUAAAAUUUACGAAAUAAUAGACUAGUUUUGAAUGUAGUAAAAGACCAUAAUAAUAUUUGAUUUGAUAUCAUAAUAUCAAAUUAAGUUUAUAACUUAAAUGUUUUAAUUAUAAAUAUGAAAAUUUAGAAGGUUAUUUUGGGAAGUACAUAUAUAAUUUUUAGAGAAGAAUAAGAGAAUAGGAGGAAUGGUAAGAGAGGGAAAAUGUUUAAAAAGUGGAGGCUGUUUGAUUUCUUAUUUACCUUUGCCUCUCAUUCUCCAUGCUCUUAACCUCUUCCUCUUCCUUCCAUCAUUCCUUUUCUCCUCUCUUUUGCACUUUCCUUUCCCUUAGUUGCAACUUAAAUCUCCGGAUCAACAUGUCAGCCU
rnacentral:lncRNA from 1 species